rnacentral:rRNA from 1 species
UCCACCGAUUGACUAAGGUUUCCAGAGGAAGGCUCGUCCGCUCUGGGUUAGUCGGGUCCUAAGCUGAGGCCGACAGGCGUAGGCGAUGGAUAACAGGUUGAUAUUCCUGUACCACCUAUAAUCGUUUUAAUCGAUGGGGGGACGCAGUAGGAUAGGCGAAGCGUGCGAUUGGAUUGCACGUCUAAGCAGUAAGGCUGAGUAUUAGGCAAAUCCGGUACUCGUUAAGGCUGAGCUGUGAUGGGGAGAAGACAUUGUGUCUUCGAGUCGUUGAUUUCACACUGCCGAGAAAAGCCUCUAGAUAGAAAAUAGGUGCCCGUACCGCAAACCGACACAGGUAGUCAAGAUGAGAAUUCUAAGGUGAGCGAGCGAACUCUCGUUAAGGAACUCGGCAAAAUGACCCCGUAACUUCGGGAGAAGGGGUGCUCUUUAGGGUUAACGCCCAGAAGAGCCGCAGUGAAUAGGCCCAAGCGACUGUUUAUCAAAAACACAGGUCUCUGCUAAACCGUAAGGUGAUGUAUAGGGGCUGACGCCUGCCCGGUGCUGGAAGGUUAAGAGGAGUGGUUAGCUUCUGCGAAGCUACGAAUCGAAGCCCCAGUAAACGGCGGCCGUAACUAUAACGGUCCUAAGGUAGCGAAAUUCCUUGUCGGGUAAGUUCCGACCCGCACGAAAGGCGUAACGAUUUGGGCACUGUCUCAACGAGAGACUCGGUGAAAUCAUAGUACCUGUGAAGAUGCAGGUUACCCGCGACAGGACGGAAAGACCCCGUGGAGCUUUACUGUAGCCUGAUAUUGAAAUUCGGCACAGCUUGUACAGGAUAGGUAGGAGCCUUUGAAACGUGAGCGCUAGCUUACGUGGAGGCGCUGGUGGGAUACUACCCUAGCUGUGUUGGCUUUCUAACCCGCACCACUUAUCGUGGUGGGAGACAGUGUCAGGCGGGCAGUUUGACUGGGGCGGUCGCC